rnacentral:misc_RNA from 1 species
UAACCGUAGGUGAACCUGCGGUUGGAUCAUUACUGUAUUGGUGAUCAAAGUGUAUUGGUAGUGCUAUUACUAAUGCCUUUGUUUCAACCUUACUUUGCUCACUUGAUUUAUGUGUUGGCUACAACUCGUUGUAGUCAGUCUUUGACUUUUUUCAUUAUUCUUUAAUGACCAUUUCAAAAACAAAUUUUAAACAACUUUUGACAACGGAUCUCUUGGCUCUCGUAACGAUGAAGAACGCAGC